rnacentral:misc_RNA from 1 species
GAUGAAGAACGCAGCGAAAUGCGAUAAGUAAUGUGAAUUGCAGAAUUCAGUGAAUCAUCGAAUCUUUGAACGCACAUUGCGCCCCCUGGUAUUCCGGGGGGCAUGCCUGUUCGAGCGUCAUUUCACCACUCAAGCCUCGCUUGGUAUUGGGCAUCGCGGUCCGCCGCGCGCCUCAAAUCGACCGGCUGGGUCUUCUGUCCCCUAAGCGCUGUGGAAACUAUUCGCUAAAGGGUGUUCGGGAGGCUACGCCGUAAAACAACCCCAUUUCUAAGGUUGACCUCGGAUCAGGUAGGGAUACCCGCUGAACUUAAGCAUAUCAAUAAGCGGAGGA